AAAAAGAUAAGCUAAAUUACAAGCUAAUGGGUUCAUACCCCAUUUAUAGAUAACACUUCUUCUUUUUA
rnacentral:tRNA from 1 species